rnacentral:lncRNA from 1 species
UGUAUUAAGUCAAAACUAAACUAGUUAAAGAGUUAAAGUUGUUUAAAUAAGUUAAAUUAAUUAAUGUGAUUUAGUUGGUGGAUUUAGUGUUGUAUUAAGUCAAAACUAAACUAGUUAAAGAGUUAAAGUUGUUUAAAUAAGUUAAAUUAAUUAAUGUGAUUUAGUUGGUGGAUUUAGUGUUGUAUUAAGUCAAAACUAAACUAGUUAAAGAGUUAAAGUUGUUUAAAUAAGUUAAAUUAAUUAAUGUGAUUUAGUUGGUGGAUUUAGUGUUGUAUUAAGUCAAAACUAAACUAGUUCAAGAGUUAAAGUUGUUUAAAUAAGUUAAAUUAAUUAAUGUGAUUUAGUUGGUGGAUUUAGUGUUGUAU